UAAUACGGAGGGUGCAAGCGUUGCUCGGAAUUACUGGGCGUAAAGGGUGCGCAGGCGGUCCUUUAAGUCAGAUGUGAAAGCCCAGGGCUCAACCCUGGAACUGCAUCUGAAACUGGAGGACUUGAGUAUGAGAGAGGUAAGCAGAAUUCCUGGUGUAGAGGUGAAAUUCGUUGAUAUCAGGAGGAAUACCGGCGGCGAAGGCGGCUUUCUGGCUCAUAACUGACGCUCAUGCACGAAAGUGUGGGUAGCAAACAGGAUUAGAUACCCUGGUAGUCCACACCGUAGACGAUGAAUGCUAGAUAUACGACUAAUUGCAUGUUGUGUGUCGCAGCUAACGCACUAAGCAUUCCGCCUGGGGAGUACGGUCGCAAGAUUA
rnacentral:rRNA from 1 species